UGCAAAGUGGUAAGGUUACAUCAGUUCUCCCUGUCAAAGGAUCAGACACUUAAGUUUGGGGAUUUGGUUUGUAGUUAUGACUUAGUUCCCUGUUCACAAAUUCCCAGGAGAUGAGAAUUCCUUAGCUUGGGGGCCAGUGGAGGCCCAGAGUGGCUGCUAGUUCUUCCUUUGGACUAGUGAAAGAUUUGCUGAAGAUCUUCAUUGGUUCUGCUGCUUUGGAACCACCACAGAUGCUGCUGGAGCCUGCGGUUGCCUGCUGCUGCUUAUGGAGGGAAUUUAGUGUGAGAUUUGCAAGAAGAUAGUGAAAAAUAUAUUUUAAGGACAAGAUUCACUGUUGUAAUGUGUUUUGACAUCUUUAGAAAGCCAAUGGACAACCCUAAAUGUUUACCAUGUGAUUCGCCCACAUGUUGUCUUCAGACAUGCAUAUAGAUGGUUUAAGUGGAUACCAGCAUCCUCUUUUGGUAUACAGCACCCACCAUAAGCAUUCCUAGGAGCCCAGCGCCCGAUUCAAAAUUGCGUGGCGCUGUCCACCCUUGAGUCGCCGGUCCAGCUCUGCCUCUCUCUCCAGCACUUGAAGCAGCCUGGGCCGUUGCUGAUCAGGCCCUCCCGCAGCACAGGUGCACGGAGGCCCCUACCGCCUGCCCCCGAUGCUACGUGUGCAACCUCCUCCUAUCCAGUCUACCCAUUACGGUGUCCCGGUUAAUUAACAUAUUUCUCUAUUUUAUAUAUAUGGGUAAUUAACAAACUACAACGUUUGCUAAUGACUGAUUACUAUACUCGUGUUGCAU